GACGAACGCUUGCGGCGUGCUUAACACAUGCAAGUCGAACGGAAAGGCCCUGCUUUUGUGGGGUGCUCGAGUGGCGAACGGGUGAGUAACACGUGAGUAACCUGCCCUUGACUUUGGGAUAACUUCAGGAAACUGGGGCUAAUACCGGAUAGGAGCUCCUGCUGCAUGGUGGGGGUUGGAAAGUUUCGGCGGUUGGGGAUGGGCUCGCGGCUUAUCAGCUUGUUGGUGGGGUAGUGGCUUACCAAGGCUUUGACGGGUAGCCGGCCUGAGAGGGUGACCGGCCACAUUGGGACUGAGAUACGGCCCAGACUCCUACGGGAGGCAGCAGUGGGGAAUAUUGCACAAUGGGCGGAAGCCUGAUGCAGCAACGCCGCGUGCGGGAUGACGGCCUUCGGGUUGUAAACCGCUUUCGCCUGUGACGAAGCGUGAGUGACGGUAAUGGGUAAAGAAGCACCGGCUAACUACGUGCCAGCAGCCGCGGUGAUACGUAGGGUGCGAGCGUUGUCCGGAUUUAUUGGGCGUAAAGGGCUCGUAGGUGGUUGAUCGCGUCGGAAGUGUAAUCUUGGGGCUUAACCCUGAGCGUGCUUUCGAUACGGGUUGACUUGAGGAAGGUAGGGGAGAAUGGAAUUCCUGGUGGAGCGGUGGAAUGCGCAGAUAUCAGGAGGAACACCAGUGGCGAAGGCGGUUCUCUGGGCCUUUCCUGACGCUGAGGAGCGAAAGCGUGGGGAGCGAACAGGCUUAGAUACCCUGGUAGUCCACGCUGUAAACGGUGGGUACUAGGUGUGGGGUCCAUUCCACGGGUUCCGUGCCGUAGCUAACGCUUUAAGUACCCCGCCUGGGGAGUACGGCCGCAAGGCUAAAACUCAAAGGAAUUGACGGGGCCCCGCACAAGCGGCGGAGCAUGCGGAUUAAUUCGAUGCAACGCGUAGAACCUUACCUGGGUUUGACAUGGAUCGGGAGUGCUCAGAGAUGGGUGUGCCUCUUUUGGGGUCGGUUCACAGGUGGUGCAUGGCUGUCGUCAGCUCGUGUCGUGAGAUGUUGGGUUAAGUCCCGCAACGAGCGCAACCCUUGUUCACUGUUGCCAGCACGUUAUGGUGGGGACUCAGUGGAGACCGCCGGGGUCAACUCGGAGGAAGGUGGGGAUGACGUCAAGUCAUCAUGCCCCUUAUGUCCAGGGCUUCACGCAUGCUACAAUGGCUGGUACAGAGAGUGGCGAGCCUGUGAGGGUGAGCGAAUCUCGGAAAGCCGGUCUCAGUUCGGAUUGGGGUCUGCAACUCGACCUCAUGAAGUCGGAGUCGCUAGUAAUCGCAGAUCAGCAACGCUGCGGUGAAUACGUCCCCGGGGCUUGUACACACCGCCCGUCAAGUCAUGAAAGUUGGUAACACCCGAAGCCGGUGGCCUAACCGUUGUGGGGGAGCCGUCGAAGGUGGGACUGGUGAUUAGGACUAAA
rnacentral:rRNA from 1 species